GUGGUUGUAGCUCAGUUGGUUAGAGCGCCUGGUUGUGGCCCAGGAGGUCGACGGUUCGAGUCCGUUCUACCACCCCA
rnacentral:tRNA from 1 species